rnacentral:rRNA from 1 species
UGGGGAAUUUUGGACAAUGGGCGCAAGCCUGAUCCAGCCAUGCCGCGUGUCUGAAGAAGGCCUUCGGGUUGUAAAGGACUUUUGUCAGGGAAGAAAAGGGCGGGGUUAAUACCCCUGUCUGAUGACGGUACCUGAAGAAUAAGCACCGGCUAACUACGUGCCAGCAGCCGCGGUAAUACGUAGGGUGCGAGCGCUAAUCGGAAUUACUGGGCGUAAAGCGGGCGCAGACGGUUACUUAAGCAGGAUGUGAAAUCCCCGGGCUCAACCUGGGAACUGCGUUCUGAACUGGGUGACUAGAGUGUGUCAGAGGGAGGUAGAAUUCCACGUGUAGCAGUGAAAUGCGUAGAGAUGUGGAGGAAUACCGAUGGCGAAGGCAGCCUCCUGGGAUAACACUGACGUUCAUGCCCGAAAGCGUGGGUAGCAAACA